GUCGGUUAUGGAGAUGUUUACCCUGUUGGUCCACUAGGAAAGGUAGUUGGAGUUCUUUGUAGUUUGUGUGGAUUAUUAGUGUUAGCUAUGCCAAUAGCGAUCAUUGCGGGUAAU
rnacentral:sRNA from 1 species